AUUCUCAGUCUUUGUGGAUAACCAGAUCCAUUAGAGAAUCUGUAGUACUUAUAGUCUGUGUAAGAAUUCAAAAGCAUGGAAUGGAGACAUUUAAAAGUAUGGUUGACCAUUACAGGUUCAGCUGUAUAAACUAAAACUAGGAAUGAUGAAGAAGAAGAAGAAAGGAAGCAGGAAUCCAUGUUCCUUAGUGGACACAGAAGUGAAGAGCAGCCAGCUAAAUUAACCUGGAUUGAUGAAUAUUAUACUGGAUGACUAUUGUGAAACACCAAGGAAAACACUCC